CAUAACACAUCGCUGCCUCUGGAAAUGACCCUGUCGCACCUUCUUGGUGUGCUUUGCCUUACACAUUGACCUUAGCGCCAAAUCUCACCUUUCUUCAGAGGCCUCCUCCCAUGUCCCUCCCUGUCCUCUGAUUCGGCUGCCACAGCUCCGUGUGGCUCGAGUGUGCUUCACUCCUGGUUGCUUUCCUGGGCUCUGCCAGGCUUGAGGUCACCGCCAUUCUUGUCACCUCACCACGAGCUGCAGUCCUGGCCUCUUGUUUUGCAAACUCCCCUCAAGUCUCACGUCUGCCAGGAAGUUUCAUACAGUUUGCUUCAUACUAGAGUUAUCCAAUAAAAGUCCCUGAAAGAUUGUUGCCAUUCAGAGUUGGUUGCCCCUUUUCACAGAAGACCCCUGCACAGGGCUUGCUCUCAACCUCCCUGUGGCGCUGACUGAUGAGAUAAGCCUGGCAGGUGUGGAGCUCCUUGACAGGCAAUGACAGGCGGGGGCUGUGCUGGGACAGUUGCAUCUGGGCUCUGAGGAGAGGCGACACCUGCCCGCGGUCCUGUGCAGAGGGUGGCUCCUGGGUUCUCUCGCACGUAUCCGCAGAAGCCUGAAAUAAUUCACGGAAAGUUUCCACCAUGACAGUAUGAUUGACCUUAAAACAGCAAAGCCCAGGCACCUACAUGCAAGACCC
rnacentral:lncRNA from 1 species